rnacentral:rRNA from 1 species
GAUGAACGCUGGCGGCGUGCCUAAUACAUGCAAGUCGAGCGAACAGACGAGGAGCUUUCUCCUCUGACGUUAUCACCGGACGGGUGAUUAACACGGGGAUAACCUACCUAUAAGACUGGGAUAAUUUCGGGAAACCGGAUCUAAGACCGGAUAAUAUAUUGAACCUCAUUGUUCAAUAGUUAAAGACGGUUUUGCGUUCACUUAUAGAUUGCUCCGCCCCGCAUUAGCUAGUGGGUAAGGUAACGGCUUACCAAGGCAACGAUGCGUAGACGACCUGAGAGGGAGAAUCGCCAGCUUGGAAGUGAGAAACGGUCCCGACACUGAGGGGAGGAAGCAGCAGGGACUCCUACGCAAUGGGCGAAAGCCUGACGGAGGAAAGUCGCGUGAGGGCUGAAGGUCUUAGGCUGGUAAAACUAUGUUAUUAGGGAAGAAGAAAUGUGUAAGUAACUAUGAACGUAUUGACGGUACCUAAUCAGAAAGCCACGGCUAACUACGUG